UCCUAUGCUGGAGUCCCACUCAAGUAUUGGUUGCUGCCUUGGUAUGCUAGAGUCCUGGAAGAGUAACUGUUGACCUUGUUCACCAGCUAUGGACUUUCUGGCACUGUCCAUCACCAGGUUAGUGACAUGU